ACGAUCACUGAAGUUAAGCAACGUCGAGCCUGGUCAGUACCUAGAUGGGCGACCGCUUGGGAAUACUAGGUGUAGUAAG